CCGCCCGGGGUCCCCAUCUCGCUGCCCGCCCCGUCUGAGCCCUGAGAGGCCCCUGGGCCCCCCAACCACGGGGGCAUCAGGGACAACCAGACGCAGGGUCCGAGGCGUGGAGCUUCGCGGAACUAACCUCAACGGGUCGCGCUUGGAAGGGAGGCAGCACCGUGGCACGAAGACGUCUCAGCCAACGCCGGCUGACCCCCGGAAGUCCCGCCCCGAAUUCCGGCCCGCUGCUCGUUCUAUCUGGGACAGCGUAGCCUCUCUAGAUGGCGGGAGGCCGGGGCGACUCUGUGGUUCAGCCCCAGACCUGGUCCCGCUAGCCCUGAGGCCAGAGACCCUUCUGUUCCCCUUUUUUUCAGAGUUGACCCGUGCACUGAACAAGGCGGCAACUGAAGAAAAGGGGACACUAAUAGAAAUGCAGAGAGAAUGAGAUAUACUGUUGUAGUGGGAGAUUUUAAUAUACAGGCCCCCAGAAUGGGAACAGAUGGUAGUUUGCUAAAAACCUAAGGAUACGUUUUUUGGAAGAACUGAAUCAUUCAAUCACUGAAUGCCAAGGCAGAAAGAAAUGAAGAGUGGGAGCUUUUGAGGGUCUCCUGGAGUUUCACUACAGGAAGCAAUCAAAGUUGGUCGAUAUUGGGAACAAUCCACACUCCCCUGCAAAGUGACAGCUUUAAGAAUAAUGUGUGUAGCUGCAGGUAAUUGAUUUUGACAUAGUUUUCUGCAUAUUAUACUUAUAAUCAAACUUCUUUUCUCCCCCUCUCCAUGAACA